GUGCACCAGUCGCGAAUAGUCUACAAUGGACGAAAGUCUGAUAGUGCGACGCCGUGUGUGCGAUUAAUUCCUUCGGGAUGUAAAGCACUUUUCUAUGAGAUAAAAGCUCUUUAGGUUAAUAGCUUAUUGAGACGGAUAUUAUUAUAGGAAUAAGCUCCGGCUAACUCCGUGCCAGCAGCCGCGGUAAUACGGAAGGAGCGAGCGUUGUCCGGAUUUACUAGGCGUAAAGGGCUAGUAGGCGACUAAUUAAGUUAUAUGUUAAAUCCCACGGCUCAACUGUGGUCCUGCAUGUAAUACUGGUUAGAUAGAGUACUGUAGAGGAAGGCAGAAUUCCUGGAGUAGCGGUGGAAUGCGCAGAUAUCAGGAAGAAUACCAAAAGCGAAGGCAGCCUUCUGGGCAGUUACUGACGCUGGAUAGCGAAGGUGUGGGUAGCGAACAGGAUUAGAUACCCCCGUAGU
rnacentral:rRNA from 1 species